GUGCAAGCUUCAGCAGCACAUAUGGUAAAACUGGAACAAUACAGAGACGAUUAGCAGGACCCCUGUGCAAAAAUGACACAAAAAUUCAUGAAGCAUUCCAUAUUUUU
ensembl:snRNA U6 U6 spliceosomal RNA